CGGGCGGCCGUGACCCUGCUGGAGUGCGGGGGGGACCUCCAGCCCCCCGGGGGGUCCCUGACGUUGCUGUGCCGAGGGUCCGGGUUCAAUUUCACAAAAUCUGCAAUGUUCUGGAUCCGCCAGAGACCCGGGCAGGGGCUGGAAUACGUCGCAGGGAUCAACGGUGACGGUUCCACCCCCAGAUACGCGCCAUCGGUCAAGGGCCGGUUCACGAUCUCCAGGGACAACGGGCAGAGCUCGGUGACGCUGACCAUGAACAGCCUCAGGGACGAGGAUUCCGGAUCCUAUUUCUGUGCCAAAAACGCCUAUGAUGGUUGGGGUUGGGAGGCUCAUGCUGCUGGUUCUAAUUUUGGUCCCGUGCCCAUCGCCGUUCCCCAGGUCCUUCCCUCCAACCCUUGA